UACGGGGGGGGGCAAGCGUUGUUCGGAAUUACUGGGCGUAAAGAGCUCGUAGGCGGCUUGUCACGUCGGGUGUGAAAGCCCGGGGCUUAACCCCGGGUCUGCAUUCGAUACGGGCAGGCUAGAGUGUGGUAGGGGAGAUCGGAAUUCCUGGUGUAGCGGUGAAAUGCGCAGAUAUCAGGAGGAACACCGGUGGCGAAGGCGGAUCUCUGGGCCAUUACUGACGCUGAGGAGCGAAAGCGUGGGGAGCGAACAGG
rnacentral:rRNA from 1 species